rnacentral:tRNA from 1 species
UCUAGGGUAAACUAAUUAAGUUGUCGGGCUCAUAACCUGAAUAUGAGAUUUAACUCUCCUAGAU